GCCGUGGAACAUAGAUAGUGAGGGAUGUGAAAGAGCGAGCGUCGGUGGUUUGCGGCGCAACAUGGUUCAGGCGUGACGAGGUUGGAGGUGGCCUUGCGGUGGCGUGAAUGGAGUAAUUAUAAUAUGCACCAAGCAAUGCUUUCAGGAGAAUCACUAAGGAGGUGGGCUUCUCAAUUUCCCCAAGAACUAUAAAUUGGGAAUUGUAAGUGCCAACAUAAUUUUUCAAACGUCACCAACCUCAUUCAAAACGGACACUCACAACUCUAGAUAUGAGUUUCUGAAUUCACCUUCAUGACCAUGUUGUAGCAUCACCGUGGUCUCCAAGAACUAUGCAGACUCACUGAAUUAAGUUGAUGAGGACUAGCAGAGACUCAAUGGCGGCCAUGGUUCGGGCGACGUACCCUUGCAUCCAAGACAUGACCCCAAAAAAACCCACUGUCAAUGCAUGAAGCCAAUAUCCCUUUGCCACAUCUCUCAUUCCUGCAAAAUUGGUUGAGUAAUGAUACAUACACACCUUAUUUUCUCUUUAAUUUCAU